GAUGAACGCUGGCGGCGUGCCUAAUACAUGCAAGUCGAGCGAACAGACGAUGAUCUUGCUCCUCGGACGUUAGCGGCGGACGGGAGAGUAACACGUGUAUAACCUACCUAUAAGACUGGGAUAACUUCGGGAAACCGGAUCUAAUACCGGAUAAUAUAUUGAACCACAUUGUUCAAUAGUGAAAUACGGUUGUUCGGGCACUUAUAGAUGGAUCCGCGCCGCAUUAGCUAGUUGGUAAGGUAAUGGCUUACCAAGGGAACUAUGCGUAGCCGACCUGAGAGGGGGAUAGGCCACCCGGGAAGUGAGCCAGGGUCCAGACUCCUGCGGGAGGCCGCAGUAGGGUAUCUUCCGCAAUGGGCGAAAGCAUGACGGAGCAACGCCGAGUGAGUGAUGACGGUCUUCGGAUCGUAAAACUCUGUUAUUAGGGAAGAACAACUGUGUAAGUAACUAUGCACGUCUUGACGGUACCUAAUAAGAAAGCCACGGCUAACUACGUG
rnacentral:rRNA from 1 species